GUAACGAGCGCAACCCUUGUCCUUAGUUACCAGCACGUUAUGGUGGGCACUCUAAGGAGACUGCCGGUGCAAACCGGAGGAAGUGGGGAUGACGUCAAGUCAUCAUGGCCCUUACGGCCUGGGCUACACACGUGCUACAAUGGUCGGUACAAAGGGUUGCCAAGCCGCGAGGUGGAGCUAAUCCCAUAAAACCGAUCGUAGUCCGGAUCGCAGUCUGCAACUCGACUGCGUGAAGUCGGAAUCGCUAGUAAUCGUGAAUCAGAAUGUCACGGUGAAUACGUUCCCGGGCCUU
rnacentral:rRNA from 1 species